rnacentral:misc_RNA from 1 species
GGAAUAAAAGUCGUAACAAGGUUUCCGUAGGUGAACCUGCGGAAGGAUUGUUAUUGUAUAACCGAGGUGCGAGGGCUGUCGCUGACCCGAAAGGUCGUGCACGCCCGAGUGCCCUCACACACAUCCAUCUCACCCCUAUGUGCACCACCGCGUGGGUCCCCCUUUGGCUUGUUCGGAGGGGGGCUUACGUUUUCACACAAACUUUGUAUGCAGUGUAGAAUGUAUUUUUUGUUUUUGCGAUCACGCAAUCAAUACAACUUUCAACAACGGAUCUCUUGGCUCUC